rnacentral:rRNA from 1 species
GAAGUCAGUGACCCAACCGCAAGGAGGGAGCUGCCGAAGGCGGGACGGAUGACUGGGGUGAAGUCGUAACAAGGUAGCCGUAUCGGAAGGUGCGGCUGGAUCACCUCCUUUCUAAGGAA